rnacentral:tRNA from 1 species
GGGGAUAUAGCUCAGUUAGUAGAGUGCUUACCUUACUUUGCAUGCACAAGGCCCUGGGUUCAAUCCCCAGUACCACCA